AUGCUUACUUGGCAGGGGAGAUACCAUGAUCACGAAGGUGGCUUUCCCAGGGGGAGGCUCAACCAUUGCACUGCAGGUGUGCUAACCCCUGCCAUUUCCGCAAAUGCAGGAAACUCAACUGCAAAUUUGUGGUAGUGGGGGACUGCGUUCGUGCUUUCCCCUG